AACCUCACUCGGCACCAGGUCACUCACACCAACACCCCUCUGCCAUUGCCAGGGCCUGAGGGGCUUCUUGGAGCUAGUGGGCCUGACAAAGCACCAGCAGAUGCAGACCAGCGAGUGGUCCUGUCCCCCUGAUGACCAGCAGAGACUGUGUGGGGUGGGGAAGGGAACUUGGUUGAGCAGCGUGGGGAAGAGCAGACCGGUGGUAGUAAAUUUAGAGAAUUGUCACAGCGUACUCCAUUAGGGAGCUACCCCCUUUUCCCCCAUGUAGGUGGGAUCCAACUAUGUGUCUCUGUCCCACACACACUCAAGCAUCUAGCUGGGAUGCAGCCAGGACAACCCCCUCCCCUCCAUCUAGAUGGGACCCAGCCAGGAACUUCUCCCCACACCUACCUCGGUUCCAGCCAGCAGGUGACCCUUGGGUGACAUCUAGAGGUGGGAUUUGCAGUCCUGUGGGGCCGGGCAGGACAGGACUGACUGGUCCAUGUAAUUGAAAGAAGACUCAGGAACUGCUCAUGCCAUCGAUUUUAAAUAGAAAUAUGAUGAAGAAGAACUACGUACCUAAUGUGAAACAAAGGUCUGUCUAGUCAGGUGUUUCUUUGCUAUUAAAGAAGCUGAUGGGUUCAGACGGCAUGUGGAGAAGCCAGUGUGAAGUGUCAAUCUUUAAGGUGAACCUGUGAAAAUGUUCUAAGCCCUAACUGUCUGUAAGGCGGUCGCGGCUCUCUCCCCGUCCGUCAGGAGGCUGUGCAGUCCCAUCUGCGCUUGAGCCGUAGGAAUUGGGAUACCUACAGGCAGAUUUCUCGAGGCUUGUGUGAAAAGGGCUGUGGUCAGGACACGCUGCAGUGCAGAGCGAAGAUAAAGGAGAUAAGGCAGGCAUACCAUAAGGCGAGGGAGGUGAACUGUCGUUCAGGUGCUUCACCUAAGACCUGCUGGUUCUAUAAGGAGCUGGACGCUAUCCUCGGUGGCAACCCCACCUCCAUUGCCAAGAGCCCCGUGGAUACUUCAGAGGGCAUGGGGCGGCGGAAAGAGGACCUAAGCCAGAGGAUGAAGUUAUUGAUGAAGAGUGGAGUUAGAUGAGGAUGUGCAGCUCCUGGCGGGGUCGCCCAGUGGGGCAGGAAGCCAGGAACUGUUCUCCACUCCAGAGGUGUCUAGCCAGACUCAGCAGUUGCUCUCAAGGGAGCAAGAAGCAGGAGGUGAGAUGCCUGAUGUGGCCUUCAGGAACACCCCACGCAUGCUGGCCGAGCGUCUCCACCAGAUAAGAAAGUGCCCAAGAUGCAGCAAAGAAGACAUGUUCCGGGAGGUCCAGCAGUGCUCCAAUGCAGAAAAAAGGGAACACAAGGAGUGCUGGAAAGCCGAACAGCAGGACAGAAAAGAGAAUCACACCUUUGUUAAAGAUGCAAUUGAGCGGAUGAUUAAAGUAACGGAGGAGCAAACACAGAUGCUGAAGUCCUUAAUAAUGCUGCAGACUGAGGCCUUGCCUACACUACAGGGGAAAUUCGCUCUAAGCAACGCAAUUUGAGUUACGUGAAUAGCAUAACUCAAAUCGACAUAGCUUAGAUCUAUUUACCCAGGGGUCCACACUACGUGAUGUCGACGGGAGACAUUCUCCUGUCGACUCCCCCAUUCUUCUCGAUCUGGUGGACAGGAGUCAACGGGAGAGCGAUCUGCGGUCAAUUUAGCGGGUCUUUACUAGAGCCACUAAAUCGACCGACAAUGCAUUGAUCACCACUCAUAGAUCCCCGGUAAGUGUAGACAAGCCCUGAGCAGAUCAGUGCUCGACCUCCACUGCAGCACAUUCAGAACUCUUUCCCAUGCGCCAACCCCCCAAACUCCGCCCACAAUUCCUUUCCACUUUCCAGCACUUCUCAGUUUCCCAUUCACUCCACCCACUCGGACAACUUUCCCAAUGAUAGCUGGACCUACACAUAGCUGUGAAAGUCUUCCCUUCCCUGGUUCCUACUUUCUCACCAAGCAUCUGUGUGUUUGUGUGUGCUGUUUCUUGUGCAAUAAAAGCAAAGUUUUAUAAUGUU